UACGUAGGGUGCAAGCGUUGUCCGGAAUUAUUGGGCGUAAAGAGCUCGUAGGCGGUUUGUCACGUCGGAUGUGAAACCCUGAGGCUCAACCUCAGGCCUGCAUUCGAUACGGGCAGACUAGAAUUCGGCAGGGGAGACUGGAAUUCCUGGUGUAGCGGUGAAAUGCGCAGAUAUCAGGAGGAACACCGGUGGCGAAGGCGGGUCUCUGGGCCGAUAUUGACGCUGAGAAGCGAAAGCAUGGGGAGCGAACAGG
rnacentral:rRNA from 1 species